UCUCCUUUCCUCUCCCUCGUGCGCUCCUUUCCUCGCUGCUGCCACUCCAUCCUAUCCACCUCCUCUCCUCGUCGAACCAGCCGCCUCUUCCCCACCUUCACGCGCAGCCUCCUCUCCCUCAAGCCCCGCCUCCUUCCCACCUGGGCUUUGCCUCUUCGGGCGGUGGGACGCAGUGGCUGUGGUGAUGGCAGAUGGGGCGACAGCGGCGGCGCUGCUCCUCUCCCAUGGUCGAGGAUGGCGGUGAGGGGCAAAGGGGCGCUGUCGUUCUCCCCCCUCAGCGUGUGCUCAGAGACGGACGAGGAGGCCGAGCAGUCGGUCAUGCCGUCAACGCCGUCCUCGCCUGCCAAGGUCUGGAUCCUCCUCCCCCUUCCCUCAUGGCGGUGCCUGGAUCCUCCUCCCUCUUCCCUUCCAUGGCGGCACCCGGACCUGCCGCAUCUUCCUCAUCGUCAGUCCGAGGGAGAGGAGUGGCAGCAGCCAGACGCGCCUCGUCCAUGUCGCGUGGUGGCCCAGAUGCGUCCGCCCCGUGCUCUGCGGUGCCCGUCUCGCCCAUCUAUGGUCGGAGAAGGAGGGGAGGACUGGAUGCCAGCCGAUCUGGAGGAAGAAGAGGAGACCCAGACGAAAUCGACGGCUCGAGCGAUGCUUGAUGACAUCCCUGGAUAGGCUUCGUGGUGGAGGACACGACCUCCGCUGCUAGGUGCACGAUGAGGCACUCGAGGGGUAGGGUUGCUUGCAGCGCGGGUGCCCGUUGUCUGUCCUAGCGGGGCACCUGAUGCAGCUGCAGCAGGCCGCAAGUUUGGCUGAUUUCAACACUCAAGGUUUUGUACAUCAGCCUACUGAAAACAUUCAGUUAUUGACAAAUCACGACAUUACAAUCUGACAAAUCAUGCAUGCAAAAUCUGACCAAGUGUAAAAGCUUGUCAAAGCUCUCAUUCCUUGUUAUGUUAUAAACUGAAUGCCAAGAUAGAUUUCUCAAUGUACAAAUUGUUUGCACUUUCUGAGCACUGAAA